rnacentral:rRNA from 1 species
UACAGAGGUCCCGAGCGUUGUUCGGAUUCACUGGGCGUAAAGGGUGCGUAGGUGGCGAUGAAAGUUCGAUGUGAAAUCUCCGGGCUUAACCCGGAAAAGGCAUUGAAAACUAUGUUGCUUGAGGUUUGGAGGGGGGACUGGAAUUCUUGGUGUAGCAGUGAAAUGCGUAGAUAUCAAGAGGAACACCAGUGGCGAAGGCGGGUCCCUAGACAACACCUGACACUGAGGCACGAAAGCUAGGGGAGCAAACAGG